AAGCUGGACCAGAACAAUCCAGAGACCAAUGAGGACGUGAAUGGCCAGCCAGGGAGCCGAUAUCUGUUAAGGCUUUGUCACCCUGUGGCCUUAGCCAUGUUGCUUCUCCUCUCUUGGUGUCAGCUGUUUAUUUGCAAAGCCGGGGCUGGACUCGACAAACAGCGCUCAAAGUCCUUUUGUAGUUGAAAUAUUCCAGAGGAUGCUGUCACUUGGAAAUACGUUCUCUCAGGUAUCCUAGAAGUAUCAAUCACUGGACCUGCCCACCCGCUCUGCCCGCUCUGACUUCUAAGGGAUGACACUACUCCACAUUCAGCCUCUGCUGCCCAGGCCUCCGUGUUCUUGCUCCAGGCUGGCUUUACAGUUCUGCAGGCUGUAUGAGCACGGCACCAGCAUUGGCUCGGCUUCUGGUGAGGAUCUUAGGAAGCUUACAAUCAUGGCGGAAGGAGAAGCAGAAGCAGGUGUCUCACAUGGUGACAAUGGGAGCAAGGCUGGGGUAAGUGCCACACACUUUUAAAAAAACAGAUCUCGGCCAGGC